UAUCGGGCUGAAGACUCUACUUGACUAGCUGAGAGGAGGUGCAUGGCCGUCGUCAGUUCGUACUGUGAAGCAUCCUGUUAAGUCAGGCAACGAGCGAGACCCACGCCAACAGUUGCCAGCUCGUCCUCCGGGGAUGGUGGGGACACUGUUGGGACCGCCUCUGCUAAAGAGGAGGAAGGAAUGGGCAACGGUAGGUCAGCAUGCCCCGAAUUAUCUGGGCUACACGCGGGCUACAAUGGGUGGGACAAUGGGUAUCGACACCGAAAGGUGAAGGCAAUCUCCUAAACCCAUCCGUAGUUCGGAUUGUGGGCUGCAACUCGCCCACAUGAAGCUGGAAUCUGUAGUAAUCGUGUCUCAAAAUGGCACGGUGAAUAUGUCCCUGCUCCUU
rnacentral:rRNA from 1 species